rnacentral:rRNA from 1 species
UGGGGAAUAUUGGACAAUGGGGGGAACCCUGAUCCAGCCAUGCCGCGUGUGUGAAGAAGGCCUUAUGGUUGUAAAGCACUUUAAGCGAGGAGGAGGGUACUGGUAUUAAUACUACCAGGUACUGGACGUUACUCGCAGAAUAAGCACCGGCUAGCUCUGUGCCAGCAGCCGCGGUAAUACAGAGGGUGCGAGCGUUAAUCGGAUUUACUGGGCGUAAAGCGUGCGUAGGCGGCUAAUUGAGUCGGAUGUGAAAUCCCCGAGCUUAACUUGGGAAUUGCAUUCGAUACUGGUUAGCUAGAGUGUGGGAGAGGAUGGUAGAAUUCCAGGUGUAGCGGUGAAAUGCGUAGAGAUCUGGAGGAAUACCGAUGGCGAAGGCAGCCAUCUGGCCUAACACUGACGCUGAGGUACGAAAGCAUGGGGAGCAAACAGG